rnacentral:rRNA from 1 species
AACGCGAAGAACCUUACCUACUCUUGACAUCCUGCGAACUUGGUAGAGAUACCUUGGUGCCUUCGGGAACGCAGAGACAGGUGCUGCAUGGCUGUCGUCAGCUCGUGUUGUGAAAUGUUGGGUUAAGUCCCGUAACGAGCGCAACCCUUGUCCUUAGUUGCCAUCAUUUAGUUGGGGACUCUAAGGAGACUGCCGGUGACAAACCGGAGGAAGGCGGGGACGACGUCAAGUCAUCAUGGCCCUUACGAGUAGGGCUACACACGUGCUACAAUGGCAAGUACAGAGGGCCGCGAAGCCGCGAGGUGGAGCUAAUCUCACAGAGCUUGUCGUAGUCCGGAUUGGAGUCUGCAACUCGACUCCAUGAAGUCGGAAUCGCUAGUAAUCGCAAAUCAGAAUGUUGCGGUGAAUACGUUCCCGGGUCUUGUACACACCG